ACGAAACAAAAAUAUUUUUUUCCUAAUUACAAGUUUCUUCUUUUAGUUUAUUUUUCUAAUUACAAGUUUUUUCUUCUCGAGCGAACAAACUCUGGGAAUGUCUUACGAUGAGAUGAGAAGAUGGUCGGUGGUCUCGAGACUAUGGAGCCGACGACGAUCCAUGUAGUGUAAGCCACUCUCUCUCUCUCUCUCUCUGCCCUUCAUCACUCUACAGCGUGAAACCCUAAUCUGUAAGAUAAGAUUGAUCGGAGGGAAGCAACUCGUUUCCUGACUCAGUCACGUUUUCUCAAAACCCUAAAAUCUCUCUACGGACAUGGCGUCUCUCUUUGUUCAGCCACCGCCUACUUUGGCGUCUCCGCCGUUCUUCUUCUUCGGUUCGAUUUGAUCUCUCUCUCUCUCAUCCUUACAAGUUCGACGGCGGAAGAGACCAACCGGUUUUGUUAAUUGUUAAUACCCCAAUUCACCGAUACAUGAUCGAGUGUUUGGAUGAUGUUUAGAUCAAUCAAUGAUGGCUUUGAUGGAAACGUUUCUUCUCUACGCAAUGUCUUCACUCUUCAGGGGUGUUUUGGAAGCAAAUUAUUGAUCUGAUCAUUACCUUCUUCUACAUGCUGCUACGUCUUCAGGCAUUC